AGUCACUGACAUUAGAUACCCGGGUAGUCCCAGCCGUAAACUAUGCGCGUUAGGUGUGUCGGUAACCACGCGUUACUGAUGCGCCGAAGAGAAAUCGUGAAACGCACCACCUGGGAAGUACGGUCGCAAGGCUGAAACUUAAAGGAAUUGGCGGGGAGCACCACAACAGGUGGAGCCUGCGGUUUAAUUGGAUUCAACGCCGGACAUCUCACCGGAUAAGACAGCUGAAUGAUUGUCAAUCUGAAGGUUUUACAUGACUAGCUG
rnacentral:rRNA from 1 species